rnacentral:rRNA from 1 species
AACGUAGGUGGCGAGCGUUAUCCGGAUUUACUGGGCGUAAAGGGUGUGCAGGCGGGCUGUUAAGUGGUGUAUGAAAUAUCCCGGCUCAACCGGGAGAGGUUAUGCCAGACUGGCAGUCUAGAGAGCGAGAGAGGGACGUGGAAUUCCGGGUGUAGUGGUGAAAUGCGUAGAGAUCGGGAGGAACACCAGUGGCGAAGGCGGCUCUCUGGACCGGUUCUGACGCUCAGGCGCGAAAGCGUGGGGAGCGAUCCGG